rnacentral:rRNA from 1 species
CAGCAGCCGCGGGAAUACGUAGGUGGCAAGCGUUGUCCGGAAUUAUUGGGCGUAAAGGGCUCGCAGGCGGUUUCUUAAGUCUGAUGUGAAAGCCCCCGGCUCAACCGGGGAGGGUCAUUGGAAACUGGGAAACUUGAGUGCAGAAGAGGAGAGUGGAAUUCCACGUGUAGCAGUGAAAUGCGUAGAGAUGUGGAGGAACACAAGUGGCGAAGGCGACUCUCUGGUCUGUAACUGACGCCGAGGAGCGAAAGCGUGGGGAGCGAACAGGAUUAGAGACCCCCGUAGUCCCUGUCUCUUAUAC